rnacentral:rRNA from 1 species
UGCGUAGGCGGCCCGGGAAGUUGGGUGUGAAAGCCCUCGGCUUAACCGAGGAAUUGCGCCCAAAACUGCCGGGCUUGAGGGAGACAUAGGUGAGCGGAACUUAGGGUGGAGCGGUGAAAUGCGUUGAGAUCCUAAGGAACACCAGUAGCGAAAGCGGCUCACUGGGUCUCUUCUGACGCUGAUGCACGAAAGCUAGGGGAGCGAAGAGGAUUAGAUACCCUCGUAGUCCUAGCUGUAAACGAUGAGCACUGGUUUGGAGGGUCCUCCAUAGCCUUCCAGACGUAGCGAAAGUGUUAAGUGCUCCGCCUGGGGAGUAGUGGUCGCAAGGCUAGAA